rnacentral:rRNA from 1 species
AGAGUUUGAGUCCUGGCUCAGGAUGAACGCUGGCGGCGUGCCUAAUACAUGCAAGUCGUACGAGGGAAGUCCAGCUUGCUGGACGGAACGAGUGGCGAACGGGUGAGUAAUACGUAAGCAACCUGCCUAGCAAGGACUGGGAUAACACCUGGAAACGGGCGCUAAUACCGGAUAGGUAACAAAGGGGCAUCCCUAUGUUAUUAAAGGUUAGAAACACAAGCAGAUGGGCUUACGGUGCAUUAGCUAGUUGGUGAGGUAACGGCCCACCAAGGCGAUGAUGCAUAGCCGGCCUGAGAGGGUGAACGGCCACAUUGGGACUGAGACACGGCCCAGACUCCUACGGGAGGCAGCAGUAGGGAAUUUUCGGCAAUGGACGAAAGUCUGACCGAGCAACGCCGCGUGAAGUGAAGAAGGUUUUCGGAUUGUAAAGCUCUGUUGUAAGGGAAGAACAGCACGGAAAGAAUCCGUGAAUGACGGUACCUUACCAGAAAGCCACGGCUAACUACGUGCCAGCAGCUGC